AGUGAACGCUGGCGGUAGGCCUAACACAUGCAAGUCGAACGGCAGCACAGUAAGAGCUUGCUCUUACGGGUGGCGAGUGGCGGACGGGUGAGGAAUACAUCGGAAUCUACUUUUUCGUGGGGGAUAACGUAGGGAAACUUACGCUAAUACCGCAUACGACCUACGGGUGAAAGCAGGGGAUCUUCGGACCUUGCGCGAUUGAAUGAGCCGAUGUCGGAUUAGCUAGUUGGCGGGGUAAAGGCCCACCAAGGCGACGAUCCGUAGCUGGUCUGAGAGGAUGAUCAGCCACACUGGAACUGAGACGCGGUCCAGACUCCUACGGGAGGCAGCAGUGGGGAAUAUUGGACAAUGGGCGCAAGCCUGAUCCAGCCAUACCGCGUGGGUGAAGAAGGCCUUCGGGUUGUAAAGCCCUUUUGUUGGGAAAGAAAAGCAGCAGGUUAAUACCCCGCUGUUCCGACGGUACCCAAAGAAUAAGCACCGGCUAACUUCGUG
rnacentral:rRNA from 1 species